rnacentral:rRNA from 1 species
GACGAAGGAUGCAAGCGUUAUCCGGAUUCAUUGGGUUUAAGGGAGCGUAGGUGCCUUAUAAGUCAGUGGUGAAAUCUCUCAGCUUAACUGAGAAAUUGCCAUUGAUACUGUAGGGCUUGAGUACAGAUGCCGUUGGCGGAAUAUGACAUGUAGUGGUGAAAUACAUAGAGAUGUCAUAGAACACCGAUUGCGAAGGCAGCUGACGAAACUGUAACUGACACUGAGGCUCGAAAGUGCGGGGAUCAACAGG